rnacentral:rRNA from 1 species
UACGAACUGUGACAACGUUAUUCGGAUUCACUGGGCUUAAAGGGUGCGUAGGCGGCCAUGUAAGUAGGGUGUGAAAUCCCCCGGCUUAACCGGGGAACUGCGCCCUAAACUGUAUGGCUGGAGUGAGAUAGGGGUGUGUGGAACUUCCGGUGGAGCGGUGAAAUGUGUUGAUAUCGGAAGGAACGCCGGUGGCGAAAGCGACACACUGGGUCUCAACUGACGCUGAGGCACGAAAGCCAGGGGAGCGAACAGG